GCACCAAAAGACUAUGAGACCUCGUUAUAAGUCAGUCAGAUUUGGUAAGUACAGAUAUUUUAAGCAUGCCUUAUAGGUCAAGCACCUCCUUUAUGUGAGGUAGGUGAGAAGACAGAGACCCACUAAGCACCCAGUCCCUGUUCCCCACCAACAGAAUAAACUUGGCCUUGAAAAGAAGGGCGGCCUGCAUGCUCUCGAUCCUCUCUCAGCCGCCUGUAGCCGGCGUGCAGCCAGCUCUGUGCAGCUCCCAUCUCAACCCGCCCUGCGCCCUGCUCCGUGGCUCCCCACCAAACAUGGGCAGGGAGAAUAUCUCACACCAACUCAUUUCAUCCUCCCCUUAUUUUAUUAAAACAGAAGAGAAAACUUCCAAGUUCAGAGUCCACUCUUUUCUCCCCCUUCCUUCCAGCAAACAGGAGACAUCUGGGGUGGGCAGUGAACAGUGGUGGGGUUUCAGGCUAGGAGAAGCUGCUGGUGGAAGGGAGUCAGGUGGAGCCCCGGCCGAGCUUCCCAGGCCCGCAGACGUCUACGUUUCCCAGGAAGUUGUGAGAACAGAGGAUUUCCCCAGGAAUCCGGGCUGGGCUUGUAAAGAAACAAUCCCAACAUCAAGAAAAGAAACCGGCCAGUAAAUUCCUAGUUAGUUCAUUUUCUAAGACUUCUGAAUGUGUUUUGAAUUUUCUCUAAAUUAAGAUAAUCAUAAAAGGUUAAGAUAUUUAGACAGAGUUCCACCUGAUCCCAGGGCUUGGUUUGUAUGCUUAAUUAGUUCCCGAACAUAUGGUUCAGAGCUUCUUAUAAAAACAGGGUAAUGACUUGAGGUAUAUUUUGGUAUUAGAUGGAACGAUGUUAAAGGGACAUUCAGACCCAUCUCAAAGGCCUUGACCUGCCCUUGAUCUGUGCUGGAAGCUUUUGCUGACAUCUGUUUCAAAGAGAUAUCAAAAAACUUUGCAGUGGCCUCAUGAUAAAACAAAAAUCCAUACGGAGAUAGAUAUCAGGCAUUAAAAUGCUUAGGAUUCAGCAUCGCCCGAGGAAUGUGUGGCCCCAGAACAUCACAGUGGGGGGUUUGUUGAGAGGGGCUCACGCGAAGACGUCGGCGGCCGUGGCUCUGAGCACUGCUGAGAGCACGAGGCCUUGGCUCGAUAUGGAGAGGGAGCAGCUGGGUCACAAAUGUCCCCAGGGCCCUUUGUUCUCUCGUGUGUUUCAGUCCCUGGUAAUAAAUCAGGUGCUCCUGUGUGCGGAACCAGCAGUUGCUUCCCCAGCUCCCAUGCAACCCCACUCUUCCCCAGCCCCACCCAGGAAGGCGCUUUAGGAGACUCCCCGCCACAGGAGUGAGGCGUCGCACCGACUCAUCCGCAGUCAUCCUCGUAUAUGUGUGUAUAUAUUACAUAUAUAAUCUUAUAUAUGUAUAUGCUCUGCAUAACACGGCUUCCAGACAGGCCCCUCCCCGACUUCCAGUUGGAUUUCUGCCACUAAGCCCUUCCCACAUAGGUGUUCUGGGUUCAUUCCAUCUGUGAAAACUUGGGCCAUGGAUGGGAAAUGUUCCCAUUAGACAGAGUCACCUAGGGCCGUAAAACAGGCCCCAGAGGGCAUUGGGUGCAUCUCUUUGGCUUCGGUGUACCAACAUUCCACCCACAUUCCUUCAUUCAUCUGUCUGGUCACGCAUCCUUUUAACCAGGACUCAUGGGGCACCUAUGGUGAGGCGGGGCAUGAGGUGCUAGGAAAAAACAGAGCUGAUUUAAGUAUAGUCCUGCCCUCCAGGAGCUCACGAUCUAAGGAGAGAAGGCAGACAUGGGGGGACAAGCAUUAAGUGAGGCCAGCCCCGGUGUCUGAGAGGGUGUGAGCACACGAUAUGGGAAGCAGAAGAGGAGGAGAUCAUUUCGGGCAGGCGGGAGAGAGCAGCUUCACAGAGGACAUGGAGGUUGCCCUGGGUUCUGAAUGAUGUGCCCGUUUGGACAAUGGGGAUGGAGGGUGACAAGGCAAUCCAGGUGGGGGGAAUGGCAGGAACAAAGGCCCAGAGAAAGGAAACCACUCCAUGGUUUCAAAAACGUGGUCCAAAAACAGCGAGUCACUUUCCAGCUUGCAAACAGCAUACACAUCCCCACUCCUCUGAUCUUCAAGCAUCCUUGUGAAGCUAGUAAGGCAGGUAUAAUUAGUUCCACUUUAUACGUAAGAAAACCAAGGUGCGUAGAGGUUGUAUGAUUUUUCCAAAGGUUUCAGAGCUCGGAUGCAGUGGAACCCAGAUUCAAACUCAAGCUCAAGCUUCCCAGAUCUACAUAAGGCUGAAAAGUUAAGAAAAGGUCAGACUACCAAGGGUCUUAAAUGCUGAGGAGGUUGCCAUCUCCUCUGCAGCCUCUGGGAGCCACUGAGGACUCUGAGCAGGGCUGGAAGAUCCCCUGGGCAGCUGUGAGCAGAAGAAGCCAGAGCAGAAAGAAGCUGGAAGCAGGAAGAUGAAGCAAGAAGCUGUGGCAGUCCCUCAGAGGUCAUUAGACCCAACCUGGGCCGCGGGCCAGAGGAGGAAGGAGAACACGGAUGCAAGAAGGGGAAGUUAGACUGCUCCCAUGCAGAGGGCAGGGAAGACGCUGCCUCUGCAGCUCUGCUUCCAAGGGGCUGGCUCCGUCUCCUCCCAAAGUCGGCUGGGCCCUGAGCAUCAAUGGCAGCUACAGUUUAGAGUGCUUACAAUGAGCAGGGCACUUUGGCAUGUAUUUCCUCAUUUAAAUCCUCAUGACAACCCUGUGAAGCGGCUUGCUCAUUUUACAGAUGAGCAAACUGAGGCACACAGUGAAGGAACUUGGCCAUGGUUGCCCAGGGAGGAAACGGCUUAGACUGGAAUGUGAACAGGUCCUCCCACCCCAAGCCUGAAUGCCUGAUCACUACCUACAACCUCCCCAUUAGGUCUUACAGGCCACUCCGAUGGCCAGGCAUGGGGUGGCUCCUGUCACCCAUCAGAGGGCAUCUGCCUAGCUGCCCUUGGCCUACAAAAGCCUCCCCAAUCUGGCCCAAAGUUACCUCCUUCCUUUGUUCCCUCCCCCUGGGUCCCGAGGGAUCCUGCUGCCACAGCCCAGCAGGCAGGAGGCCAGAUCCAGGCUGAGAUACAGAGAGAGAGUCUCUGUGAGCCGAGACCCAGCCUGGGGCGUCACAGCAGGAGACGUCAAAGCUGGGCCAAGCUCAGUGGGACGGAGAUCAAAGCCAGCAGGGGGUGGCAGAGCAACAAGGAACAGAAAGGAGCAGGGGUGAGGCCGGUCCCAUAUCAUUCCUGUGGCUGCACGGAUGGGCUGGGGCCUCUUUGAAGGUCUGAGACAUCUGCAACCCUGGGUGCCAGACAGAAGGCCUCCUCUCCUCCCUGGUCCCCUUGUGGGGGGCUGGGGGCCCGUGGCGGUCGAGAAGUUGUCUUGAGCACAUCAGACCAUGGGAGCAGGGACCUGCUUUUCUUGCAUGUCACUGUCCCCAGCCCCAAGCACAGGGCCUGGCACACAGGUGCUGUUCAAAGUCAGUUCUAGCUGCAGUCCUGCCAUUUGGGCAGCUUCUGGCCACCAUGAGAGAAUCGGUGUCACCAUGUCCAGCUGAUGUCAUUCCAGAUCACUACAAAGGAAUGUGGAGUGUCCAUCAGCCCAACUGACCUUGUUUGGAGUAACUACACCAUUUCAUGAGACUCAGAAAUUGCAAAAAUGCUCAGGAAUCCACAGAAGAAUCUCAGCCAGGCCCGGAGCCCCGGGAUCCCUGGACUGUGUAUUUCACUCUUGCCAGGGGUGCUGGUGCCAGAGGUCAGCGAGCUUUCACCUCCAUCCCUCCUCACUGCAGGCCGCUUCAGAGCCCCUCAGCCCAGCCGCAGUGCUGAGGCCGAGGAGGGAGGAAGAAGAGGACAGCUCCUGGGAGAGGCCACUCGGUGUCUGGCCCUCCAAAUGCAUGGAGUACAGAAACUUGGCUGGGCGCAGAAGCACCUCGUGACUGUGCAAAGCAAGUCCAGAUGGCAUGAGAUACACCACCACUGAUGCCAAGAAAUCCUGGGUGUGCCCCUUGGGGUGUCCCCUCCGAGGGCAGCCACAGCCCGGGCAUGGUGCACUCCUGACCAGUGGCCAAAGGCGCACAGAACCAGCAGCCUGCAAAGAAAAUUUGGUGAAUGCGGUUAGAUCAUGUCAACUUUAAUGUGCUUCCAGAGUAUUAACAACAACUCUGCAAGGUACCAAGGUACCAAGGUACCGUGUGACUCUUCAAAAGCUUCCCACAGGCCAUGUGUCCUUUAAGCCUCAUUCGAGAGAAAGACAGAACAGAUACCAUGGGUAUUGCAAAAGAUACUGUGACAAAUCUGAGGUCCAGCAAGAUGGCGGUGGAGAUGCGAGGACUUGAGCCUAGUUACUCACACCAGGCCUCAUCCAGAGGAUGCACACAGGGACUGUGUACCAUGAAGAGGCUGUCCGGAACUUAGGAGCAGGGUCAGCCCACACAGUGGGGCAGAUUGUGCACUGCAUCAGGGCAUCCCUACCAAAGGGGUCCCAAUCACAUCUUGGACAUGGUAGAUCUGCAUGUUUAUUCCAUUUCUCUGGAUUGCAAUAAAGUGUCUAUUCUAAUAAAAUCAGUAUAAUACUUUCCCAACUGACAGAAGUAACAUGUCUUGGGAAAGGGUCCUCUUUUUCUAACCUGCACAGAGGUCCUGCAUGACUGGCAGCAACCCUGAUAGAAGCCACCCAUAUCUGGGAAGGCUGUACUUUUCUGGAAAGAAGCCAAAAGGAAGAGUGGUCGUCUUGCUACUCCCCCAGAAAUUCAGCUGCCCUAAUGGCAGAGGAAUCUGGGAAAGGGAGCAUGCAGGAUAUGUCUGUCUACAAAUCAACAAGACAAAAGACAAACAGUCUCAGAGGAAAAUGGGCAAAGGGCUUAUCCACUGACUCACAGAGGAGAAAAAGGCAGGGAACGCGUGAAGGUUGGUUGUGGCCACUUGUCAUUGUUCAUCCUGCACAGCACCCCAACUCCGUUCCUCCUGACCCUAGCUGACCUUCCAGGACACAGCAGCCUUUCACCGUUGCAAGUUGUCAUGGAGGGAGGCAGGUCCCCCGUCCCACAAUGGAAGCCCAAGGGGGCAAUUCCUCCCUCUCCACACCCUGGGGUCUUGGAGACCAGGCACAGGAACAUACUUGGCAUUUGGAUUUUGGGGUAUGUGACAGAUCCCAUGUAUGCAGUCCUCAGCUUCACGUUGUCAAAGGGAACAUAAAUCAACAAAGAGACGCGUUUUGCACCCAUCAGACUAACAUAAGUUGAAAUAAUUGAUGAUAUCCUUGGCAGUGAGGCUGCAGGGAAACAUGCUCUUGUGCACUGAUGGUGAAAAUGUAAGUUGCACAGGUUCCUUGGAGGAGGAGUGGCAGUAUUUACGACAAAGCACCUGCUCUCCCACUCAGUGCUCUCACUUCUAGUAAUCCACUCUGGAGAAAUUGUCACGCAUGUGCACAAAGAUAUAUAGACAAAAAUAUUCAUUGUAAUAAUGAAAAAUUAGAGAUGAACUCAAUAUCCAGAAGUAGGAGGAAGGAGAACAGGCAGGCAGGGGUGAGGAAGACUGGACCGUGCUCUAUGCACUAACGUGAAAAUCUUCAGAGACACAUCUACCAACGACAGCUGACAAGUUUACCCUCCUAUAAGCACAAACACAAACGAAGAUUGUACUUCUGAUUGUACCCACAAUGCAAACACGUGGGGAAAGGUCUGAAUAGACACUCUACAGAUGGUUAACAGUAGUUGCUGCCAGGAAGAGAAGUGGAAUUUCGCUGUAUUUAUUCAGACUUUCACAAAUGAGUCUCCCUCUGUCUAUCCUUAUGUUCCUGGAGAGCCAUGUGGUUAGGCUCAUGGACUCUUGGGUUGAGCUGCCUUGAGUUCAAAUCCUGAUCUUACUGUUUUCUUAAAUGUCUGACUUUGGGCUCCUGAUCUGAGCGUUAAUUUUCUUUUCUGUUCUUUUCUUUUGAGGAAUAUUAGCCCUGAACUAACUACUGCCAAUCCUCCUCUUUUUGCUGAGGAAGCCUGGCCCUGAGUUAACAUCUGUGCCCAUCUUCCUCUACUUUAUAUGUGGGACUCCUGCCACAGCAUGGUUUGCCAAGCAGUGCCAUGUCCGCACCCGGGAUCCGAACCGGCAAACCCCAGGCCACCGAGAAGCGAAACGUGCAAGCUUAACAUCUGCGUCACUGGCCCGGCCCCAGCAUUAAUUUUCUUAACUGAGGAAAUCCAUAUAAUGUGCUUAGCACAAUGCCUAGCAUAUGAGAGUGGCUCUAUAAGCAUCUUAUUAUCUUGGCAUCUCUGCUGUCUCCCAGCCCCCAACCCUUUCAAAGCCACAGUAGAUGCUAAUAAAUGUUUGAUGAAUGAAUAAGCUUGCUGAUGGUAAGACUAUCUCCCUGAGGUCUAAAAAUGUGGAAAAGAAUAUGCUUAAAGAGGCCGAAUCUUACUAGUCUCACUUUUCCUCCGACUUAGUGUUUUUCACACUGUAGGUUAUAAUCAAUUAGGGGGUCAUACAUCAAUCUAGUGGGUAGCAAUCGACAUUUAAAAAAUACAGAAUAGAAAAUAUCAAAAUGUAAGUAAGAACAAGUAUUGUUUCCUGAAACUCGUUUUGUGGAUGUGUGUACUUGGUUGCAAUGUAAAUUGUAUUUUUUAAUGUUAAUCAUAGUAAAAAUUACAUGAGGAAACCCUGCUUCCAGCAGCCUUCCUUAGUUCAGUCUAGUCUAGUUCAGUGCUAAAGGUCAUGGGCCAGGGAGAGGCGGAGGUUCCCACAGCAGUCUCCUGAGCCUGGAUGGUGCAUGAAGGUGACCGGUGCCCCCAUGGCAGCUUUCUCCCUCCCUCGCUUCAUCAAAAUGGCGCUGACACACGGGGGAGCAGAAACCUCAGGCCCUGCAUGAAUUUCCUAGGGCUACCGUAACAAAGGACCACAAACUGGGUGGCUUGAAACAAGAAGAAUGUAUUCCCUCGCUGUUUAGGAGGCUAGAAGUCCUAGACUGUGGUGUCGUCGGUGGUGGGGAGGGGGAGGUCCCUUUGGAGGCCCCGAGGGAGCAUCUGCUCCAACCUCUCUCCCGCUGCUGUUGGGCGCCUAAAAUCCUUGGCCUUCCUUGGCUCAGAAAGCUGUAACUCCAAUCUUUGCCUCCGUCUUCGCAUUGCAUUCUCCUCCCUCUGUCUCUGUGUGUCUCUAUUUCCAAAUUUCCUUCUUAUAGGGACACCAGUCAUUGGAUUAGGGGCACUCUAACCCAGUAUGAAUUUAACUUGAAUAUAUCUCCACAGACCCUAUUUCCAAGUAAGGCCACAUUCACAGGUUCUGGCAGACAUGAACUUGGGGUGGGGAUGGGGAAUGCUAGUCAACCCAGUAUCUCCAGCCCCAGACAGAGGAAGGAACCACAUGUACCCUUUUAACCAUCACGUCUCUGUUCCUCUAUCCCCCACCAGCCCUAAGCAAUCGUUAAUCUACUCUCUAUCUUUAUAGAUUUGCCUGUUCUAGACAUUUCAUAUAAAUGAAAUGGUAUAAUAUGUGGCCUUUUGUGUCUGGCUUAUUUUUUUUUUUUAAGGAAGAGGUUUUAAAGAUUUUAUUUUUUUCUUCCUUUUUCUCCCCAAAGCCCCCCAGUACAUAGUUGUAUAUUCUUUGUUGUGGUCCUUCUGGUUGUGGCAUGAGGGACGCUGCCUCAGCGUGGUUUGAUGAGCAGUGCCAUGUCCGCGCCCAGGAUUCAAACCAACGAAACACUGGGCCGCCUGCAGCGGAGUGCAUGAACUUAACCACUCAGCCACGGGGCCAGCCCCUGUGUCUGGAUUCUUUCACUUUGCAUAAUGUCCCCCAGGUUCAGCCACGUGGUGGCACAUAUCAGUCCUGCGUUUCUUUGUAGGAGUGAUAAUUUUCCAUUGUAUGGAUAUACCACAUUUUGUUUAUCCAUUCAUCAGUUUGGGAGAUGAGGUUUUCUCUAUCUUAUAUGCCAGUCCCUGUUCUUUUUUUUUUUAAGGAAGAUUAGCCCUGAGCUAACUACUGCCAAUCCUCCUCUUUUUGCUGAGGAAGACUGGCCCUGAGCUAACAUCCCUGCCCAUCUCCCUCUACUGUAUAUGAGGGACACCUACCACAGUUUGGCUUUUGCCAUGCUGUGCCAUGUCCGCACCCGGGAUCCGAACUGGCAAACCCCAGGCUGCUGAGAAGCGGAACAUGUGGACUUAACCACCGCACCACCAGGCCGGCCCUACCAGUCCCUGCUCUCAGUGCAUUAGCUCCUUUAACCCUCACAACCAGUUACGAGGUAGGUGUUAUCAUUAUCCCUAUUUUACAGAGAGUGGAGCACAGAGAGAUGAUCUAACCCCCGCCAAGGUCAUGUAGCUGGUGAAUAUCUGCUUGGUCCCCAAGUUUGUGUGUGACUCCCAGUGCCACAUGAUCCCUCUUUUCAUUAGUGUCUUCAGGGGCAAUUCAUACAUACCUCAGCUGGCCCGUUUAUCCCUAAGUAGAAUCCAAGAUGGCGCACCAAGAGCCUCCAUCCCAUUCCCCACCUUCCCUCUCCUCACCUGCACCCCACCCAAGGGGUUGGUCAACAAACCCCUUCAAGGGGCAUCAUUUGGGCCUGUAAAAUCCUCAUUAUUUGGGACCUCACUAAUUCAGUAUUUGUGAUCUUUUCAAGAGGCUGUGCUGGCCUACAGGAUGUUUCAGUUAGCAACAUUUUCUUCCCUAUGCCUUACAAAUUCUUGGUGUAAAAAAGAUUGCAGAAGGCAUGUUUAAACAAAGUGUUUUCAAGCCUCCUCAAAAAUCACAGAAACCCCCAGGAGCAACCCCACAGCUGAGAUGCAAGUGACACAGAACUCUUAUCCGUUCCACCAGCAGGUGCCCUAGAGACCCAGCAGGUACCUUGCUAAACGAGAUGGUGACAGGACUCGCAGGACUCAGCGUACCGUGACUGCCCCCCGCCAAGAUGUGCUGUGUUUCCGACUAGCUCUCUGAUUCUCCAAACCAGCCCUGGUCCUCAGCUUUCCUGUGGAGAGGCCGCUUCUGUGGAAAGGGCUUGUUUCAGCCCAUCGGACACUGAGAAGAUCAAGGUGGCGAGCCUCGGAAUCCUCUGGGGCACCCCAGGCUGAGAAACGUUGAAGACCAGAGGCUAGGAAGCCACCAGCAGGAAAGGGGCUCUGGAGGGGACUUCUGAACUUGGAGACUCCUUCUUCCUUUCACAAAACCCUGUUAUUCCUCCCAAGGAGAAAUCACGCCUAGCUGAAAAGUCUGAGGACAGGGUGACAGCUGGCAGCCGCUGUGGAGGCAAGCAGUCCAUACCUUCAGCCUAUUGAGUCCUGGUUGCCUUUGAUGUAGGCAUUUCCUGUGGUCCAGCAAGUGAGAGCAAGGUGGGAAAGGCUGGCAUGGGGAGUGUCUGCUGACCCUAGCAUUUCCAAAGCGAAACCUUCCAGUUGCUUCUAGAAUCUAGGCCCUGCAUUGUAACAUGUUGUGGGUGCAGGCUGCCCCACUCGAUCCCCAUUUAGGAAUAAACUAUUUUAAAGUAACAAAGAGAUUUCACUCUUCUGCAGCCGUCCAAGGGACACCAUUUAUCCUGUCUGCAGAGCAGCGUCAGUGACAGGCUAUGGGGGUGGGAGGCAGGGGUGAGAGCAGAGGCCCAGCACAAUACAGAAGUCCCUGACUCACUGUUCCUGGGCCUCCCCAGCCCCACGGGUGUGGAUGCAAAGAAUCCUGGGCAGGGAAGCCAGAGAAGAGCUGCUGGGAACUGACUUCCUAACUGCCUUUAUAGCUGACGUCCCCUCUCUGGGUCCCUGUUCCUUGCUCCCACAAAAUCAAACAUUCGACUGGAAGGGACUGCAAGCAGCUUUCAACGCAUACCCUAAUUCUGAUCCAUUCGUAGAAGCUGCCUGCAGAGCCAUGUUGAGGGUUUUGAGGGCUGGCAGGAGGGAGAGAGCUGGGAUGCAUUAGCAAUGUCUGCUAUGAGGAUGGGAAGGAGAGCAGUGGCCCUUUCCCUUGCUAUAUAUUUACCACUCCUGCCGUUGAUAUCCGACGUCUUCUUUGCCCCAGAUCUUGUAGGAUUUUAUGAUUCCUCUUGCCUGUGCUGUUUGCUUGACCUUCCUCAAGGAGCUAUUUCAGGGGCUGUUCCCACCCACCAGGAACUGACAGUGGCCUGCAGAUGUUUGCUUGUAGGGCUGGGCCAUGCGAGUUAGUGAUAACCAAGGCCAGAGUUAGUGAUAACCAAGGCCAGAGGUGGCCGGCUCUCCUUGAGACCGGAAAUAAGCUGAAAAGUGAGUCUUUCUCUGUCAACGCUAUCCUGAGACCCACAGGGCAUGAAGCACAGCCAAGGCGGAUCACCCCUUCCAAGAUGACCCACUCAGACAAACGCAGGAUGCGGCCUCUAUCCACAUGGUUUAGGCACAGAGGACUGAGAAAGCCAAAGACCACAUGAAAAAAGGGAAAAGAAUUUUGAGCAGAGGCCUCUGGGGAGUGGGGUGGUCUCCCUGUGGGUAAAGCGGAGACGGUAACAGUGCCUCCUCUGAGAGGGGUCCCUGUGACAGUGCAAGGGGAUGAUGCAUGCAAAGUGCUCAGCACAGAGCCCGACACCAGUACUCAUCCCUAAUAAAAGCGAUCCGGUGGCCAUGGCACUAUUCUCUAGGAUCACUCUUUGGUGGCAUUGGGCCUACAGAUGUUAAGUCUCCU
rnacentral:lncRNA from 1 species